rnacentral:rRNA from 1 species
GACGAACGCUGGCGGCGUGCUUAACACAUGCAAGUCGAACGAUGAACCCGGAGCUUGCCCCGGCGGAUUAGUGGCGAACGGGUGAGUAACACGUGAGUAACCUGCCCUUGACUCUGGGAUAACUGCUAGAAAUGGUAGCUAAUACCGGAUACGACCCUCGGUGGCAUCACCAGGGGGUGGGAAGAAUUUCGGUCAAGGAUGGACUCGCGGCCUAUCAGCUAGUUGGUGGGGUAACGGCUCACCAAGGCGACGACGGGUAGCCGGCCUGAGAGGGUGACCGGCCACACUGGGACUGAGACACGGCCCAGACUCCUACGGGAGGCAGCAGUGGGGAAUAUUGCACAAUGGGCGCAAGCCUGAUGCAGCAACGCCGCGUGAGGGAUGACGGCCUUCGGGUUGUAAACCUCUUUUAGUAGGGAAGAAGCGAAAGUGACGGUACCUGCAGAAAAAGCACCGGCUAACUACGUGCCAGCCGCCGCCGUAA